rnacentral:misc_RNA from 1 species
UAUGAAGAACGCAGCGAAAUGCGAUACGUAAUGUGAAUUGCAAAUUCAGUGAAUCAUCGAGUCUUUGAACGCACAUUGCGCCCCCUGGUAUUCCGGGGGGCAUGCCUGUCCGAGCGUCAUUGCUGCCCUCAAGCACGGCUUGUGUGUUGGGCCCCGUCCUCCGAUCCCGGGGGACGGGCCCGAAAGGCAGCGGCGGCACCGCGUCCGGUCCUCGAGCGUAUGGGGCUUUGUCACCCGCUCUGUAGGCCCGGCCGGCGCUUGCCGAUCAACCCAAAUUUUUUAUCCAGGUUGACCUCGGAUCAGGUAGGGAUACCCGCUGAACUUAAGCAUAUCAAUAAGCGGAGGA